AGUAAAGCAGCGAUGCGCUUAGGGAUGGGCCUGCGGCGGAUUAGGUAGUUGGUGGGGUAACGGCCUACCAAGCCGAUGAUCCGUAGGGGGCGUGAGAGCGUGGCCCCCCACACUGGCACUGAGACACGGGCCAGACUCCUACGGGAGGCAGCAGUGAGGAAUAUUGCACAAUGGGCGCAAGCCUGAUGCAGCAACGCCGCGUGAGGGACGAAGGCCUUCGGGUUGUAAACCUCUUUUCUGAGGGACGAGGAAGGACGGUACCUCAGGAAUAAGUCUCGGCUAACUACGUGCCAGCAGCCGCGGUAAAACGUAGGAGGCGAGCGUUAUCCGGAUUUACUGGGCGUAAAGCGCGCGCAGGUGGCUUCGUGAGUCGGACAUGAAAGCUCCUGGCUUAACUGGGAGAGGCUGUUCGAUACUGCGGGGCUUGAGGUUGGGAGAGGGACGCGGAAUUCCCGGUGUAGUGGUGGAAUGCGUAGAUAUCGGGAGGAACACCAGUGGCGCAAGCGGCGUCCUGGCCCACACCUGACGCUGAGGUGCGAAAGCGUGGGUAGCAAACAGGAUUAGAUACCCUGGUAGUCCACGCUGUAAACGAUGUCAACUGGGUGUCGGUAGUUUUACACUAUCGGUGCCGAAGCUAACGCG
rnacentral:rRNA from 1 species